CUAAAUGCAGUCGUACGAGAAAGUUGGCUUCGGCUGACCAAGUAAAGUGGCGCACGGGUGAGUAACGCGUGGGUAAUCUACCCUUGAGUCUGGAAUAACGUCUCNAAAGAGGCGCUAAUACGGGAUAAGACCACAGGCCCUUCGGGGCAAGGGGUAAAAGGUGCUUUCGGGCAUCGCUUGGGGAUGAGCCUGCGUGACAUUAGAUUGAUGGUGGGGUAAAGGCCUACCAUAUUGUCUACNAUGUCUAGCUGGUCUGAGAGGAUGAUCAGCCACACUGGGACUGGAACACGGCCCAGACUCCUACGGGAGGCAGCAGUGAGGAAUUUUGCGCAAUGGGGGCAACCCUGACGCAGCAACNCCGCGUGAGUGAUGAAGGCCUUUUGGUUGUAAAGCUCUGUCNCCCGGAAAGAAACUCCGGUGGAGGAAACGCCAUCGGACUGACGGUACCGGGAAAGGAAGGACCGGCUAACUCCGUGCCAGCAGCCGCGGUAAUACGGGGGGUCCAAGCGUUAUUCGGAAUUAUUGGGUGUAAAGCGCAUGUAGGCGGUUGGGUGUGUCAGAUGUGAAAGCCCGGGGCUUAACCCCGGAAGAGCAUUUGAAACUACCUGGCUUGAGUCUCGGAGAGGAAAGUGGAAUUCCCAGUGUAGAGGUGGAAUUCGUAGAUAUUGGGAGGAACACCGGUGGCCNAAAGCCGACUUUCUGGACCAUGACUGACNCUCCANAUGCCGAAAGCCGUGGNUAGGCAAACNNGAUUAGAUACCCUGGUAGUCCCACNCCCGUAAACNAUGAGUACUAGGUGNCCGGGGUAUUGACCCCCCUCNGUGCCCGAAGCUAACNCNUUUAANUACUCCCCCCU
rnacentral:rRNA from 1 species